UAGGUCGGAUUAGCUAGUUGGUGAGGUAAUGGCUCACCAAGGCGACGAUCCGUAACUGGUCUGAGAGGAUGAUCAGUCACACUGGAACUGAGACACGGCCCAGACUCCUACGGGAGGCAGCAGUGGGGAAUAUUGGACAAUGGGCGAAAGCCUGAUCCAGCCAUGCCGCGUGUGUGAAGAAGGUCUUCGGAUUGUAAAGCACUUUAAGUUGGGAGGAAGGGCAGUAAGCUAAUACCUUGCUGUUUUGACGUUACCGACAGAAUAAGCACCGGCUAACUCUGUGCCAGCAGCCGCGGUAAUACAGAGGGUGCAAGCGUUAAUCGGAAUUACUGGGCGUAAAGCGCGCGUAGGUGGUUCGUUAAGUUGGAUGUGAAAGCCCCGGGCUCAACCUGGGAACUGCAUCCAAAACUGGCGAGCUAGAGUACGGUAGAGGGUGGUGGAAUUUCCUGUGUAGCGGUGAAAUGCGUAGAUAUAGGAAGGAACACCAGU
rnacentral:rRNA from 1 species